rnacentral:rRNA from 1 species
GUCCACGCCGUAAACGUUGGGCACUAGGUGUGGGGCUCUAUCAACGGGCUCCGUGCCGUAGCUAACGCAUUAAGUGCCCCGCCUGGGGAGUACGGCCGCAAGGCUAAAACUCAAAGGAAUUGACGGGGGCCCGCACAAGCGGCGGAGCAUGUGGCUUAAUUCGAUGCAACGCGAAGAACCUUACCUGGGUUGAACUAUGCAGGAAAAGCCAUAGAGAUAUGGUGUCCUUCGGGGCCUGCGAUAGGUGGUGCAUGGCUGUCGU